rnacentral:rRNA from 1 species
UGGGGAAUUUUGGACAAUGGGCGCAAGCCUGAUCCAGCCAUGCCGCGUGCAGGAUGAAGGCCUUCGGGUUGUAAACUGCUUUUGUACGGAACGAAAAGGUGCCUUCUAAUAAAGGGCGCUCAUGACGGUACCGUAAGAAGAAGCACCGGCUAACUACGUGCCAGCAGCCGCGGUAAUACGUAGGGUGCGAGCGUUAAUCGGAAUUACUGGGCGUAAAGCGUGCGCAGGCGGUUUUGUAAGACAGAUGUGAAAUCCCCGGGCUUAACCUGGGAACUGCGUUUGUGACUGCAAGGCUGGAGUACGGCAGAGNGGGGUGGAAUUCCACGUGUAGCAGUGAAAUGCGUAGAGAUGUGGAGGAACACCGAUGGCGAAGGCAGCCCCCUGGGCCUGUACUGACGCUCAUGCACGAAAGCGUGGGGAGCAAACA